rnacentral:rRNA from 1 species
GCGGACAGAAGGGAGCUUGCUCCCGGAUGUUAGCGGCGGACGGGUGAGUAACACGUGGGUAACCUGCCUGUAAGACUGGGAUAACUCCGGGAAACCGGAGCUAAUACCGGAUAGUUCCUUGAACCGCAUGGUUCAAGGAUGAAAGACGGUUUCGGCUGUCACUUACAGAUGGACCCGCGGCGCAUUAGCUAGUUGGUGAGGUAACGGCUCACCAAGGCGACGAUGCGUAGCCGACCUGAGAGGGUGAUCGGCCACACUGGGACUGAGACACGGCCCAGACUCCUACGGGAGGCAGCAGUAGGGAAUCUUCCGCAAUGGACGAAAGUCUGACGGAGCAACGCCGCGUGAGUGAUGAAGGUUUUCGGAUCGUAAAGCUCUGUUGUUAGGGAAGAACAAGUGCAAGAGUAACUGCUUGCACCUUGACGGUACCUAACCAGAAAGCCACGGCUAACUACGUGCCAGCAGCCGCGGUAAUACGUAGGUGGCAAGCGUUGUCCGGAAUUAUUGGGCGUAAAGGGCUCGCAGGCGGUUUCUUAAGUCUGAUGUGAAAGCCCCCGGCUCAACCGGGGAGGGUCAUUGGAAACUGGGAAACUUGAGUGCAGAAGAGGAGAGUGGAAUUCCACGUGUAGCGGUGAAAUGCGUAGAGAUGUGGAGGAACACCAGUGGCGAAG